CAGCAUGGAGAAGCAAAAUGCAUGAAAUUAGUUUUGCAUAUAAUGCAUGAAAUUCCUUUCCUUCUUAGACACAUCUAUUGCUUUAGAACUAUGGAGGAAACUAGUAUCUGGUGAAGGCAACUUCAGAACUGUGCUCACUGAGGAAGAAUAAAAUGCAGAAGAUGCAGGAAUUCAAAUAGAGUGUGUGGCAAGACUCUGAUCAAGAGAAAGAUGAUCUCAAAGAGCUGGCUUGAAUAUCCAAAGCCAAGAAUGUACCUGCUGGAUUGAGGCACUGAUCACCAAGCUCAGUCUAAGAGGACAAAGACUUGAAGUGAAUUCCUUUCCUUGCCCUUCAGGUUUUCUACUUCAGAGACACUGCACUGCUCCAUAACACUCUUUGACUAAAAAAUUCUUUGUGGAUAUAUAACUCUUGAUAUUUAAAUGCUUUGUUUUAUGAUUUUCCUUUCUAAGUGUUGUAAAUAUUUAUUUAGCUUUAUGUAGUUCUGGUCCUACAAAUCUUGAAACUUUUAAUUUUCAAAACAUGGAUUAAUAUGAAAGCUAAUAAACUGUUGUAACUGGCUCAGUUUACAAAGAGUUGUAAUAAUUAUUUCAGAAUUAUUUUCUUAAUAU